GCCACUGGCUGAUUUGUUGGAGGAGCGCUGGAGCCCAGUUUCUGAGGGACCCAGUGACACGCUGCUGUCACAGCUAGUGGCAGACGCAGACAGCUACUUCUUCCCCGCUGCUUCCCCAGCCCCUGGCAAGAGGGCACCCUCUUUCAAAAGCCAGGCAGCCCGAGGAAGAUGCUGCUCCGUGCUGAGAGCGCUUCCUAGUCGCUUUCUCCUAACGUGGUGCCUGUGACCUCACCAUCCGCUUUCAGUGUCGACUUUGUUUGGAGUUGGGUGCUAAGAUGUAAACUGACUGAAACACUUCUCAAGUGUCUACAUGUCCUAGAAGGGGAAUUUUUCGGAGGUGGCCACUUCUUUGGAAUAGUCCGAUGCCAUCAGGCCUCUGAAGCAAGGGGAGGGGGAAGAGAAAAAAGCUGAAACACAAGGUUCAUCUGGUAAGUUUUACAUUAACCAUUACAAGCUGGAUAGUAUAAGAAUGUGGCUUUUUGGCUCAAAAAGUCUGAGUCUUGGUGUGGAAACGAGUACUUGGC